AGGCUCAGGAUGAACGACUAGCGACAGGCCUAACACAUGCAAGUCGAGGGGCAGCACAAGGAGCAAUCUGAGGUGGCGACCGGCGCACGGGUGAGUAACACGUAUGCAACCUGCCUGUAAGCGGGGAAUAACCCGUUGAAAGACGGACUAAUACCGCAUAAUACUAAAUUACUGCAUGGUAAUUUAUUUAAACAUUUAUGGCUUACAGAUGGGCAUGCGCAUGAUUAGCUAGUUGGAGAGGUAACGGCUCCCCAAGGCAACGAUCAUUAGGGGUUCUGAGAGGAAGGUCCCCCCACACUGGUACUGAGACACGGACCAGACUCCUACGGGAGGCAGCAGUGAGGAAUAUUGGUCAAUGGACGAGAGUCUGAACCAGCCAAGUCGCGUGCAGGAAGAAUUGUCCUAUGGAUUGUAAACUGCUUUUGCAGGGGAAUAAAGUGCAUCACGUGUGAUGUUUUGUAUGUACUCCGCGAAUAAGGAUCGGCUAACUCCGUGCCAGCAGCAGC
rnacentral:rRNA from 1 species